UGCAACUCCUCCCACAGGCUCUGGGUUCAGCCCUCAGCCGCCACAAUGUUCACCAAACAUGUAAUGGCUGAGUUGUGGAUCCCAUCAUGUGUUCCCUGUUCCCUUGCAAGAUGCCCUCAGUAAGGAAGGCUUUUAUUAUUAUAUUACGUACUCAUUUCCUAGAAGAGGACUGCACGUUUAGAAAUAAAUGUGAUGAUGUCAGAGGGGAUGGACGCAGCAGGCACAUCUGUGAGCUCCACUUCUUGCAGCUCCUGCUCAGCAAACACACACCGGUCAGCUGGGAGGUCUCCUUCCCACAGACCAUCUCUGCAGGUGAGUUGCUGGGGCAACGCUGUAGCACGGGCUCUGUGUCCGAGGGUGGGAAGCACACAGCGUAGCACUGCAGCCAUGGUUGUGCACGAGGGCUGCUGCAAAACCAUGGGAAGAAGGAAGCACUCUGCUCUGUGAUAUGGGCACUCAGCUCACAAACCUGCUUCACAGUGAAAUAAGCAUGACAUGAGAACGUUCCUGCUUGUUGUGGGCCUGUUCAGAAUGUAAACUCUGAAUGUCGAGUGGAUGGAUGCAAGCUGCUUGUGUGUCUCUGUGACCUAACCGGAGAUGGUUUAUUCCCGCAAUAGCUCAAAUAAAUCCUUCCGAUAAAUCA
rnacentral:lncRNA from 1 species